CUUUAUUCCUUUCUGAGGGCUCUUGAGUUUGUUUCCUUGCUCAUGCAGAUGUUGGAAGAAUUCAGUUCCAUGCAGUUAAAGGACUGAGGGUCUUGCUCUGUCACCCAGGCUGGAGUGCAGUUGCUCUAUCAUGACUCACUGCAGCCUCAAAUGCUUGGACUCGAGCAAUCCUUCAGGCUAAAAGGUUUAUGAAGACAUCUGUCUUGUCCGGCAUCAUAUCCUGGGACCCACAAAGUGACUGAAAUAUAUCUGGUGGUCAAUAUAUAUUUGCAUCUUUCAAUUUAGACCGGCCACAUUUCAAGUGCUCAAUAGCCGCAUGUAGCUAGCGGCUACAAUAUUGAACAGUGCAGCUCUGGAAAUUUAAAAAGAGGUUCCAGUGGAAAUCAUAAUGGCAGUUCAGAGAAGGGAAAAUGCUCUACGACCUGGAACAGGAAAAGCUAUAUGGAG